UUUUGCACUAAAAUCUCUUCUUGGAUGAAGUAGCCUAUUUAGGAUUUUAUUUUGACUUUGCCAGAUUGCAUUAGUUGAAAGCUAAGAUGUGAUGUUCAAGACUACCCCUUCCGCCUGACUUGGUUCGGUUUAAGAGCAAAGUUAACCAAGAUGUUUUGUUGCAAAUUUUCAUUGUUCAGAGACAGAGCAAAUUAGAUGAAGUAACAGGGAGGACUGGGGAGGCUGAUGGUUUGGGAGGCAUUCCAGCUACACAGCCUCCCCUCACCACACCCCUGGAAAGACGAGAUAUUCCUCCACAACUGAGCAUGACACUGGAGCACAUUAUGGGACAGCUGGAUGUGCUAACACAGGUUUUUGAAGUUGGUCAAAAAGCUGAUCCACAAGAAGAAGUAAACAUCAGUGAAGUCAUUCAAAAGACUGUCCAAACUGUAGAGCAAAGGCUCAACUCAAGUCUGCUGUACCAGUGAAGGUGCUAGACAAUACAAUAAACAAAGUAGCAGAAGAAGUUCUUUCUCCAGAGGAACUUGAAGAAAGGCAGCUGAAAAUUCAGUGCUACUGACUCCCACAGAAAAAGAGCAGCAUCCCCAUCUGUACCCACACCCCAUACUCAUGACCCCCUCCAAGGACUGCACCCGAAGAGGCUGCUCCCAAGAGACAGAGCAAAUUAGAUGAAGUAGCAGGAAGGAAUGGGGAGACUGAUGGUUUGGGAGGCAUUCCAGCUACACAGCCUCCCCUCACCACACCCCUGGAAAGAAGAGAUAUUUCUCCACAGUUGAGCAUACUCUGGAGCACAUUGUUGGCCAGCUGGAUGUGCUCACACAGGUUAGUUGCGGAAAAAAUUUGUGAACAGGGAAUUGUUUUGGAAACCAAGAGCCUUGGGGGGUGGGGACAGGGGAUACACUCCUGUUAAUGACCCCACCACGCUGCCAUUCAUAGGGGAGAAUACCAGGGGUUGAAGAGGGACCCAUGUUAGGGGGAAAGGGGCAAAAGGUGUGGCCCGAUGAAAAGCUUACUCGUAUCAACAAUAAUCAAUAUCCAUUUUAAAACACCCUUCCUUUAACAAGACACAAGACUUAGAAACGGGGGACACAGCUUUCAUGUACUCAAUUUUUGCUAGUUCCUUUUACCAGCCUUUGAGAAGCAUAGAUUCAUUUAGCCUGAAUCAGGCGGUCUUCUUCUUUGUUUGGGGAGGGGCGGAGGGAGGGAGGGGGAUGGUAUGGAAGCACCACAGUUGCUCUUUCUCUCUCCCCCCUCCCCCUGGAAAAAGGAAUACCUGAUCGCAAGAUGGAGUUCAUUUCUGAAACAGCGACUGGUGAUCAAAUCCGUGGCCCUCGUCGGGAAAAAGGUCAUGAACAGUCUAAUAUGAGGUUUUUGUUGUACAGAGACGAGGCAAAGAUUUCAUGCAACAUGGAGAUGUAUUAGCUUAUGCUGAAACGCAAGACAUUUUUUUAGUGUAAGGGAGAGACUCUUAUAUUCGUUACGCGACCUUUUGUUGCAGACGGUUUCAAUUUUGGAACAAAGGCUGACGAUGACUGAGAAUAAACUACGAGAAUGGCUGGAUAAACAACAGAAAAUAACUCUACAGAUCAGACCUAACAAGUAGCGCAAUGCGGCGUCAGUAUAAAGAGACUUGAUCAUUAGACAUGUUCAGAAUUCUUUUAAAACUAGUCUUCGUAAGGUAAUAUUGUAAACUAUGAAAGAAAUUUUCAAUUGAGUGUCGAAAAUAGUCAUGGAUAUAGUCAUGGGCAUUGGUUUAGCUUGACUGUAGUCUGUUAUUGGUUUAGCGAGCCUAUGCCGCCCUCUUGACCAAUCAGGUACGAGCCUCAUCAAGAUCGAGUGUGUAGUAGGGCCAUUCGCAUAUUUCCAGCACUUCAGGCUUUUCUUUGAGUUAUCUUUGGCAUUUUGUUAUAUUUCCUUUAUUGGAGCAGUUUCCAGCUGAGUAUCAAAAGUGAUGCUGGAUUGCUUUGGUUUUGCUUUACUUCGUUAUGUGAUUGGUCCAGGAAACUCGCGUCACAAUCUUAACCAAUCAAAUGUAAAACUAAAACCAACUACGACUUGGUCACUCGCGUUUUCCCGCGCUUUAAGGAGGUUGCCUGUUUCUACUCUGUGUUCUCAUUGGCUAAUAAUCAUGGUAACCUUUUUUCUGAUUGGCAGUUGUCAUCACUUUGGAUUUGGUUUUUCGAUACUUAAUUGAAAAGUGCUCGACGAUUGGCAAUUGUGAUAAAUUUGGAUUUGGUCGUAGGACACUCAGUUGAAAUUCGCUUUUUGAGAAUACAGUGUUUUAUAUCUGUGUGUACAUAUCAUAUAAAGUUACUAAGGCAAUAUCAGAACUACAAGUAGGUAAAUAAACUAUUUAUACCUACCUUUGCUGUAUGUUUGGAAUGAGAAUUUGUUUUACAUUUAAUCGGAGGUUGAAGUAGCUUUUUGGUGAGCUGAUUUUAUGUGCUGGUGUUCUCUGUAUUUAAUGUUCUUAUGUGUUUUAAAAUUGUUUUUGGCUUAAAUACGUAUUCAGUAACUAUAGAUCUAGACCAAACAGAACAUUAUUUGUCCGCUGGUGGAUACGAGUUUAUAAUAUCUCUCACAAAAGAGAGGUAUUGUCGACACUCGAGGAUAAAUUUGUAUUAACCCACGGCCAAGUAAUGUCUCCUCAGGGUUGUCAAAAAGAUUUUUUGUAGCAGCCGUCAAUUCAGUGUCAAUUCCACGUUUUAUUCGAUCCGAUCAACUACGCUCAGCACACUGUUCGAAUACAAUACUGUAUGAGAAAUCCUUACAAACAAGCAAGUGUCCUUUUCCGUAACCUUGAACAGUGGUACAAUAUCCGUAAUGGUUCCGUAAUGUUCUUUUUCUUCGAUGUAAGUCUAGUUAAACGAUCCUCAUCCGAAAAAUAAAGGCGAAAAUAACAUGCCAUGAAAACACAUGUGCGCCGAGGUUUAACGUAGUGUCGAAUGGCAAAACCUCGGUAGAGACUGGGCCUAGUGCUCAGGGAACCUACCAUUUACAUUUAGAGUAACUGAACUGUGAUACAAAUAAGGCCGCAAAAAAAUUUUUUAUUUACACCAUUGUCAUGCUUCCAUGCCUGUUACCGGCUUAAUUUAAUA